rnacentral:misc_RNA from 1 species
GAUGAAGAACGUAGUGAAAUGCGAUACUUGGUGUGAAUUGCAGAAUCCCGUGAACCAUCGAGUCUUUGAACGCAAGUUGCGCCCGAAGCCAUCAGGUUGAGGGCACGUCUGCCUGGGCGUCACAUAUCGUUGCCCAAUGCCUAUUGCAGUGCAAUAGGAAUUUCUAGGGCGAAUGAUGGCUUCCCGUGAGCGUUGUUGCCUCGCGGUUGGUUGAAAAUCGAGUCCUUGGUAGGGUGUGCCAUGGUAGAUGGUGGUCGAGUUAGAACGAUACCGAUCAUGUGCAUGCUCCCCAAAAUAUGGCCUCUAUGACCCACACGCGUCUUUUGACGCUCAUGACGAGACCUCAGGUCAGGCGGGGCUACCCGCUGAAUUUAAGCAUAUCAAUAAGCGGAGGA